GCCUUCGUGGUGUAGUGGUCAGCACGCUCGACGCGUAACCGAGAGGUCCGUGGUUCGAUUUCUGGCGAAGACG
rnacentral:tRNA from 1 species